rnacentral:rRNA from 1 species
CCUACGGGAGGCAGCAGUGGUGAAUAUUGCACAAUGGGGGAAACCCUGAUGCAGCGACGCCGCGUGAGUGAAGAAGUAAUUCGUUAUGUAAAGCUCUAUCAGCAGGGAAGAAAAUGACGGUACCUGAGUAUGAAGCCCCGGCUAACUACGUGCCAGCAGCCGCGGUAAUACGUAGGGGGCAAGCGUUAUCCGGAUUUACUGGGUGUAAAGGGAGCGUAGACGGCAGUGCAAGUCUGGAGUGAAAGUCGGGGGCUCAACCCCCGGACUGCUCUGGAAACUGUACGGCUGGAGUGCAGGAGAGGUAAGUGGAAUUCCUAGUGUAGCGGUGAAAUGCGUAGAUAUUAGGAGGAACACCAGUGGCGAAGGCGGCUUACUGGACUGUAACUGACGUUGAGGCUCGAAAGCGUGGGGAGCGAACAGGAUUAGAUACCCGGGUAGUC